GAGAGUCGAUGAAGAGAACUCUCUCAUGUUACUUUCGCCCUUAUUUAAACUCAAUCUAGACAUAUCAGAUUGGGAUUCCAACGUGUCUAUUUCACAAUAGACGCAAUGAUUGAUGGGAUGGAGACUGUCUCGAAUAUACCUCCGCAUCGGAGACAGAGGGGCCCUGGAAUGUCUUGACUUGAAUCGAUUAGCCGGGUUGUGGGUGCCAGACGACGAAACAGUAUUUACCGAAAAUGAUCAUGUCAGGUUCGGUGUUUUGACAACCUGACGUCAAGGUUGACACAUGUUGUUAAUGUUGCGUCGCCUCUGCCUCUGAUGCUGGUUCAAAUCAUCCGUCACCUUGUUGUCACGGUUCGUUACGUUGUUGCCCGCGGGUUGCUUGGAUACGCGGAGAGAGAGAGAGAGAGCGACCUUCUUCGUUUAAACGGUUUGACAGGAAGACCCCUGCGUCUCUUGAAUCGUGUGUUUCCAUCAUGGCAAAGGCAAUUUGCUGCUCUCUUUUGCUGUACGAACACACAUGGUUCAUGUGACUUACAGAUAAAUCUAACUUCCUAAUUAGGUCGGGUUUUGUACUUUUACGGAGGGAGUUCUUUUAUGUUUGCUGGUUUUGUUUUCACUGCGGUUUCCGAUCUUUGACAACGCUGUCCCUUCGUGGUCGUAAACAUGGGAAGUGGAGGUUAUGACCCACAAUUUUUAUUUAUCUGAACUGAAGAUCAAUUGUUGCCUGUUGUUUAAGUUUUGGUUCGGUGUCUGGUAAUGGAAGGUUUGGAAUCGUUUUAACGGGAUGCUUAGAGCACGUUUUUCGAAGUGAUGACCAAUGGCUAUGUAGUAUUAAGAAAAUACCAGAUCACGCUAGCUUAAGAAGCUACCACUUUGACACAGAGCAAAUCCGAUGCUAGAGCAGAGCCAGAGCAAAGCCAAAGUAGAGCCAAAGCAGAGCCAGAGCAAAGCUAAAGCCAAAGCAGAGUCUUCAGAAUCUUCAGAAUCUAAGCAGAACCAGAGCAGAGGCAGAGCAGAGCCAGAGCAGAGCCAGAGCAGAGCCAGAGCAGAGCCAGAGCAGAGCCAGAGCAGAGCCAGAGCAGAGCCAGAGCAGAGCCAGAGCCAGAGCAGAGCCAGAGCAGAGCCAGAGCAGAGCAGAGCCAGAGCCGAGCAGAGCAGAGCCAGAGCAGAGCCAGAGCAGAGCCAGAGCAGAGCCAGAGCAGAGCCAGAGCAGAGCCAGAGCAGAGCCAGAGCAGAGCCAGAGCAGAGCCAGAGCAGAGCCAGAGCAGAGCCAGAGCAGAGCCAGAGCAGAGCCAGAGCAGAGCCAGAGCAGAGCCAGAGCAGAGCCAGAGCAGAGCCAGAGCAGAGCCAGAGCAGAGCCAGAGCAGAGCCAGAGCAGAGCCAGAGCAGAGCCAGAGCAGAGCCAGAGCAGAGCCAGAGCAGAGCCAGAGCAGAGCCAGAGCAGAGCCAGAGCAGAGCCAGAGCAGAGCCAGAGCAGAGCCAGAGCAGAGCCAGAGCAGAGCCAGAGCAGAGCCAGAGCAGAGCCAGAGCAGAGCCAGAGCAGAGCCAAAGCAGAGCCAGAGCAGAGCCAGAGCAGAGCCAGAGCAGAGCCAGAGCAGAGCCAGAGCAGAGACAGAGCAGAGCCAGAGCAGAGCCAGAGCAGAGCCAGAGCAGAGCCAGAGUAGAGCCAGAGCAGAGCCAGAGCAGAGCCAGAGCAGAGCCAGAGCAGAGCCAGAGCAGAGCCAGAGCAGAGCCAGAUCAGAGUCAGAGCAGAGCCAGACAGAGCAGAGCCAGAGCAUAGCAGCGCCAGAGCAAAAGCAAAACCAGAGUAGACAAAGCAAAAGCAGAGCAAGAGCAGCAUCAGAGGAAAACUAGAGCAGAGCCAGAGCAAAGCCAGAGUCAGAACAGACAAAACUAAAGCAGAGGAAGAGCAGUGACAGAGCUAUAUUAACUACAUAAUCAAGUUUGGUUGAGGAAGCUACCAUUUGCAAGAGGUAAAGCCAUUCUCAAACACAGAAAUUCCUCAAUAAACUAGAGAAGACGAUGAAUUUAAUGUUGACGUCUUGAGUGGCGUAGCGAAUGCGCGCAUGCCGCCUUAUGUCGCGCCUCCAACCACACGCUUCUAGUGCAGCAUUUUAUGGCCUACUUUGAUGGCGGCCAUAUAGUUUAUUUUUCUCUUAAAAUGCCCCCGAAGGAUGUACCUAAUUCAGACGCUUAAUUGACGAUAAUUAAUAUGCAAUUCAAACAAAGCCAGGCCCAUAUUGCGAGUUCAAGUAAACAUACGCACGGACGUUUGAUCCAGAAACGAUUCGAACGCAUCCAAAGGAAUUAUUCCAGCUUUCUGGAUUAAUCGAGGAUCUAUUUCAAACGAACUCGUUCAGCAGCGUGAGGCCCUUCAUAACCUCGGUAAUUCCCCAUUACCGUAGCUGGAACAAACAACGCAACGCUUUGGGUUCGCUACUGAAUCGCAUCGUUUGAAUGACCGCGCGACAACAUCAUCGUGAACAACAACGAUUUAAUCGGAAGCACCCAUUUGCAUGCAGCCCUCAAUUUCAUUGUGUCGUUCGCUCAUUCGUUGGUGGGUUGGCUUCAGUGGAAAACGAUUAUUAUAAGCGCGCAUCAUCAGUUCCUCCCCCUUCCUUUUUCUCCCCCUCCACCAAACAUCAAUGUUUUGUAUAAACGUCGUAUAGUCAUAGUCAGUGAUGGAAUUAUGCCUGGUUUACAUGGAGCAAGUGACUUGAUUCAAGUCAAUGGAAAAUGCCCAACUGAAUGCGAAUUGAACGUGUAAACACCACCGUUCAUCUCAGUUGAGCAACUGACUUGACUUUAACGAAAGUUGAACAUGUUCAACUUUUUUGUUCAAGUCAAACGAAAUCAUCUCACUUGCCCCGUCUGAACACGCGAUUCAUGUGAGUUGAAUUCAAGUCAUCUGUCAAAUGAGCUGAAUUCAAUUCAGUUUGCUUACGCAUCGCACGAGUUGAAGAAUGUAAACACUUGCUUCAAUUGAGAUACAUUCAAGAGCAUGCAAGUGGACAACCAAGUCAUUUGCUCAGUCUAAACACGUCAUUCUAUUGGAUUGAACAUGUUUGAGAAGUUUGCAACUCACAUGCUCGUUUCAAUUGAACAGUCUAAACCAGGCAUUACUCUCAUCAUGAAGCAAUUCGCGAGUGCAAAGCCAACACAAGGCUUACUCACGAUUCCGAGAGUAGUGUGUGAGUUUAUUCGCACCCGCCUGCUUCGUGAAUAAGAAGCAAAACAAAAACAGAAACACUCAUGAGUUUUUAUUCGUGAAGAACUAGUGGAAGUGCGGGAAGUGCAUUUAUUUGUGAUUAUAAUAGCAAAUCCAACAUAAACUAAUGCUUUAUGCUUCAUUGUUCCUGAAAAGCAGCAUUGCCAGUCGUUAAAAUGCGUUUUUUGUCAAAAAGCAUAAAACUCACGAAGCUUCGCGAAUCACAUGCGAUGGCUUGCCAGCAAUGAGAGUAUAUUACAGGUGGGGAAGAAGAUACUUCGUGUGCGUGAGAUCCGUGUCUGGUGCAAAACAUGUCACUACUACAAGCAAAGCGACCUUCCAUAAGAACGCGUGUCAAAUAGUGACGUCACUAUUUGUGUUUACAUUUUUCUUUGCUUACUAAUACAUAGCCAUCUCUUCUUCUUCCCCACCUGUAAUAUACUCUCAUUGGCUUGCCAGCUUCGUUUACUCACGAGUCACGAAUAAAGAAGUGCGAGUAUUCUCGAGCCCCUGUUGUUCACGAGUAUGUUUGUUUUGGUUUGUGUCUGCUCAGCUGCAAUAUUCAUCAUUUUCCAUCUCUGGUCAUAGCUGGUCAGCUACCGUCGUCGUUGUCGUCAUCACGAUCAUCGUCAGAAGCUGCAUCACUCUGUCUCGUCUCCGUCAUAUACAUAUGAUUGCAGAUGUUCUCAGCUUUGCUACCCUCUCCAGACUUCAGUGGGGGUGCUUGCUGCACUGACUGCCGCCGCCGGCGACGGGAUUCAGCCAAGUUUUUUGAUGGGAUGAAUAAUAAUAAUUGCAGUUUUAAGCUUUUAUGUGCAUUGAGGCUGGAUUGUUUAGAAGAGGUUUGUUUGAUGUUUUGGACAGCUGGCGGCAGCUAUCCCGGUAGGGGAAUAGCGGGUAACACCGUCAGGGUGGGUAAGCCCGUCACCCCAAUGAUUUUACCAGAAAACAGUUAUUUAGUAGCUUUUUGGCCACACGCCUUACCUUUCGAGACAAAUGGUACCAAAAUUUACCUGUCAAAUACGAAAAAAAUAAACAAAACAAACGCACGCGUCAUUGCACCAACGGCGCAUGUAAUAUUUCGUCGGUAGAAUUUAGCUUCUGGAUUACAAAAGAAGUGCAGAAAUUCACUUUCAUCAAUCAUGUAUUCUCAUCUGCACUAUACUUCAGUGCCAAGAUUCAUUGAAUGGUCAGUUUCAACAAUUAUUCAAAAGUUACGGUGUAAUUUGAGAAAAGUGGCCUUUUCGGGUAAGCCCGUCACUCAUCGGCGGGGGUAACACCGUCAUGCUUUUCGGAUAACCGGAUGUUUGUUGAACUGGCUAGGAAUUUCUAAUAGAUGCCACACAACUACAAACCGAUGACCAACCGGGGAAAUUUAUAUAGGGGUCGUCCAUAAAUGACGUAGCAUUUAAGGAGGGGCUGGGAGUUGAAAUUUAGGAUUAUGCUACGAGCCAUGUAUUACGUAUUGGAAAAUAGGAGGGAAGGGGGUGUCAAAAAUCGUCAAAGAAUGCUACGUCAUUUAUGGAAGACCCCAUAUGAGUUUUUCUAUGGCGUCUUUCAGUAAUUCCUACGGUUCCUAAUUUAUCCAACUAAAUCUACUAGGAUUUCUCCAUGAGUUCCUGCUUGGACUCUUCCUGUUUCUUCUGGACCUUCUAAGGGCAUGAUUUAUGGAUUUUUUUCAGAGAUCGCAAAUUCACUAGCGCCGCCUAGUGGCAGAAUUCCGAAACACGUGUCCCGUUUUAUGUAAGUCUAUGUCAUACUGAUCAACUUUGCCGAAGACACCAACUUUUUAAAUUAUUGAGAUUCUAAGAUAUGAGGUUUUGAAAAUUUACAUGCUCACUAGCGCCGCCCAGUGGAGGAAUUUUAAACUUCGUAACUCAUCAUCUGUGGCGUAUCCAAUAAUUUUUCCGAAGACACUAUUCCUAAUUAUCAGGGUCUUGAGCUGUCGCAUAUCGUAACGUUUGCUUAACAACCUAAUAUGGUUCCUGUAGUGCAAUUUAGCAUCAAUCUGUGGCCUCUGGUGGCCACGUUACCAACUAAUAAUAUGAACCAAAGCUCUAAAUGGUAGAUCUGUUCAAGCCCUUAAAGUAUUGCACUAUCUCUUAACACACCCGAGAUAAUUGGACAUACCCCCAAAAAGUCCAAAUCCCAUAAGCUUAGUCUUCUAUUAAGCGGAUUUCAAUUGCUAACCACCACCCCCCCUCCUGCACCCCUGACAACCCGCAUAGUAAAAUACAUUAUGCCAUACAUUCUAAACAAUUAAUUACCUGUAUCUGUUAAGAUGACAUUAUAUUCCAUGGCUAAUUUUGUGUUAAACAAUAUGGAGCAUGAGAAUGAUAACAAUAAAUAACAAUAAGAAUGAUCUAUGUCAAAUAACGACAGUAUACUAAAGCAUCCAUAAAUUGUUAAACGGUAUGGAAUGCGAACUUGCAUGAAAUGGUGACAAUGUAUCACCACCUUCUAUCAGAUGGUAAGUUUUUGUGUUUGCGCAACACACUAGCACCUACACAUCACACUAUGUAUGUAUCACAUUUUUUCAACAGUAUGGCAUACAGUUUGGCACAUUUGUGUUUGUAAGCAACAAAUAUUCACCGCGUUCGCUGCCAGCAGCGCUUGUAUUUUUUUUUUCAUUCCUCGGAAUUGCGGAUCUUUGUCAUUUUGCGGAUCUUUCCCGGCAAUCUAUUCCAGCGCCCAAGGCCGACAAGCUGGUCAACAAACUCCCCGCCGUGACUUCGAAGAGGAUGGAAUCGUAGAUGGAAACUUUCGCGAAAUCAAAGUUCGGAAUGAAUUUGAUAAACACCCGCUGGAGGAAUUCUGGAUCCGGCACAUUACAAGGUCAUGCAUUCCGGUUGCUCGCAUAGGUAGGACACCAGCGGGUUUUGUCUUCAUGAGUGGUUCAUCGGAUCUGAACGGGCUAGGCAGCACAAUCAGCCAGGGAAUGCAGAAGCAGUGCACGUCGGCAGAGCCUCCGGUAGAGCAGUCAAAAAGCAGAUGCAAGAAAUCCGUGGAAACUGGGUAAGAUGCUUAUGCUCUGGAAGAUCCCGCUCCUCUCGAUGUUUGCUGCAGCAUGGAAUAGAAGUUUACGUGGCCUAAGUGUUCUAUAAUGAUAAUUCAUUUUUUCAUGUGAUGUUGUAACAAAUAAAUUAAUACUAUAUAAAACGUAUUUGCUAGUUUCAUUUUUUUGUUUCUUUACAUAUAACAUUAUGUGGUAGAACCAUAUAUCAUACGCUAAAAAUACCAUGAAAGACCAUAAAUCAAUAAUAACACAAACAUGUUAGUUUUUCUUUCAAAUUUAUGGUUAAACUGUUCUCUAACCAUUUACUAUGCAGUGAAUUGUCCAAAAAGCGGAUAGUAUAUUGACCAUAUUCUUUACUGUAUUGCGAAAAUUUUGUUCGGGAAAAUGAGCGAUUUUUUAUGGUAACCUAUCUUAACCGCCUAUUCCACAUACUGUAAAUUGGAAUGGUUAAAUGACCAUUGCUAAUGGUCAUCUACAGUAUGAGAAACUUUACAUUUACAGUUUGUGAUUAUGCGGGAAGUGAUUUUAUAAGAGUAUCGACUGUAGACCAUCACUGCACAUCAAAAAUGUCUUGAAAAUAUUUUAAAAUUAAGAUAUUCAAAAGUAUCUUUAUAAAAAUAUAUAUGACGGACUUACCCCAUAGGGGUGACGGUCUUACCCGCACUGAAUAAAUAACAUCAAUAUUUAAUAUGGUUGUGUUAUGUACAUUGUUCGCAAGAAUAAGCAUAAUUUGACAAUUCUAAUGCACAAGUCUUAUAAAAAACCAAUGAAUCAAAUAUUCUGCGUACUGAAAAUAUCAAUUUACGUCUUACAUUUAUGUUGAAAAAUCCGAAUGCUUAAGGUGACGGGGUUACCCCUUCCUCCCCUAAAUAUUUCAUGCUGUUGGUCGCAGGCCCCUGGCAUGAAUGGAUUUUAUCGUAGCCAACAUCUUACUGCUUUAUACUCAUAUUCGUGUAAAUUGAAAUGAGCGUGUAACCAACAAACGCUGCUUUGUUUAAUGUUGUGGGCCACACACAAAAUGCACCGCCACAUUGCGUGUUUGUUGGGUUGCUUUAUUCAACUAAUCGCGUGCUCCUCUUCCCGUACACGCAGAAAAAUAAAUUGUAAACACAAUUAAAUUCUAGUUCAAAUCAACCGAUUUUUCAGUUUACUAUAGCGACAAACUGAUUUCUAGUUUAAACUGAACUGUUCCAUUUGUUUGAUAAUACAAAUAUUUUCAUUUGUCGAAAUUUUUGACAGUUUGUUAAAACAAACAGAGAUAUGGUUUUUUAAACAUGAAAUUAUUGAUUGAUUCAAACGACUGCACUUUUGCCACUAACAAACCCGGAAUGUGAUUGUUUUGGUGACGGCAGCAACUGCGGCAGCUCGGAAAUCUAUUUUUAGAUCGUCGGUAAGCGGAUGGCGAGGAGAACGACUAGAAAAAGACAAAAAAGGCGAAACCGAUCAACUUUUUGUGGAUGCUGUCGUGAGUACCUGCGCGUUAUCCAUCACGGCCAAAGCUGCACUUGGAAGUUGGCGUGAUGGAUUUGCUGCACCUUCUUCGCUGUGGCGAUGUUGGGGUAAGCAUUUUAUAGAUGUGUGAGUGCUUUCGGACCAUGUUUAUGGUUUUUAUUUUGUUGAAACAAAUGAAAUUUUUGACAUUAUAUGAAAUGAUGGUAAUCGGUUGUUUUUAUCAAUAAACUCUGAAUGAAAACAAUUAAAUAUAACUUUGGAAUAAGUAAAUUCUCAGUUUGAAAAUCAA